rnacentral:rRNA from 1 species
AAUCUUCCGCAAUGGACGAUAGUCUGACGUAGCGACGCCGCGUUAGUGAUUAUUGUCUUCGGAUCGUAAAUCACUGUUGUUAGGGAAGAAUAAGUAGCGACCGAAUAAGGCGGUACCUUGACGGUCCCUAACCAUCAAGCUCCGGCAACACACGUGCCAGCAGCCGCGGUAAUACGUAGGGGGCAAGUGUUGUCCGGAAUAAUUGGGCGUAACGGCAGCGCAGGCGGUUUUCGAAGUCUGAUGUGAAAUCUCGUAGCUUAACUACGAACGGUCAUUGGAAGCUGGGAGACUUGAGGACAGAAGAAGAGAGUGGAAUUCCACGUGUAGCGGUGAAAUGCGUAGAGAUGUGGAGGAACACCAGUGGCGAAGGCGACUCUCUGGUCUGUAACUGACGCUGAGGCGCGAAAGCGUGGGGAGCGAACA